rnacentral:lncRNA from 1 species
UGGCGAUUCAGAAUUCCGACUUGGCACUUCAUUUCGGGAGAAUCCUCUAAUCUUACGCUUCGUUCGUCAUAUAUUAUCCGAUUAAGCGAAAGGUACGAGGACCUUUUAAUUCCACGAAUCGUGUGCAUUAGCUAUCUUUGUGGGUUCUUGUUGCUACAUAUUGUUCGUCCUUAAUCUCUUCAGAAUGUUCUCUUCUCCCUUUGUUUGCUCGAAUCUUUGGAAGUUCAGCGAUUUAUCGUGGUUAAUCUCUAGUUCCGGCGUUUGCAAGGGAAACAUCCAUGCGUAGUAAGUAUUAGGUCGGAAGUUGAUGCUUUUGGUGUAACUUCUUCCCAAUAUUCUCUCUGUUUAGGUAUUUAAGAUUACGAAUAGAAGUAU